AACGAACGCUGGCGGCAUGCCUAACACAUGCAAGUCGAGCGAGACCUUCGGGUCUAGUGGCGCACGGGUGCGUAACGCGUGGGAACCUGCCCUUAGGUUCGGAAUAACUCCCCGAAAGGGGUGCUAAUACCGGAUAAUGUCUUCGGACCAAAGAUUUAUCGCCUUUGGAUGGGCCCGCGUUGGAUUAGCUAGUUGGUAGGGUAAAAGCCUACCAAGGCGACGAUCCAUAGCUGGUCUGAGAGGAUGAUCAGCCACACUGGGACUGAGACACGGCCCAGACUCCUACGGGAGGCAGCAGUGGGGAAUAUUGGACAAUGGGCGAAGGCCUGAUCCAGCAAUGCCGCGUGAGUGAUGAAGGCCUUAGGGUUGUAAAGCUCUUUUACCCGGGAUGAUAAUGACAGUACCGGGAGAAUAAGCUCCGGCUAACUCCGUG
rnacentral:rRNA from 1 species